UCGCCCUGUUUUUUCAAAAACAUAGCCCAGGGUAACGCUCCUGGGUAGGUCCUGCCCGGUGAUAAGUUUAACGGCCGCAGUACCCUGACUGUGCUAAGGUAGCGUAAUCAGUUGGCUUUUAAUUGGAGUCGAGAAUGAAUGGGCUUAUGGGGGAGAGCUGUCUCGCUAUUUAUUGUUUUGAAGUUACUAACAGGGUGAAAAAGCCCUGCAGCAGAAAAAAGACGAGAAGACCCUUAGAGUCUUAAUAAAUUUACUGUUCGUAGUAAUGUGUUUUUGUUGGGGCGACAUUGAGGCACCAAACCCUCAAAUAAUAAAAAUAACUAGACGCAAUUAAGAAGCAAGAAAAGACUACCUUAGGGAUAACAGCAUAAUUUUAAUAUAAGUUUGUGACCUCGAUGUUGGACUAGGAACUUUACGACUAGCCGUCGAAAGAGAAGUUCGGCCGGGCACCGCGCCGCGGCCA
rnacentral:rRNA from 1 species